AGUCAAUAGAUACCCAGGUAGUCCUAGCCGUAAACGAUACUCGCUAGGUGUCGGCCACGGUGCGACCGUUGCCGGUGCCGUAGGGAAAGCCGUGAAGCGAGCCACCUGGGAAGUACGGCCGCAAGGCUGAAACUUAAAGGAAUUGGCGGGGGAGCACCACAACGGGUGGAGCUUGCGGUUUAAAUUGGAUUCAACGCCGGAAAUCUUACCGGGACCGACAGCAACAUGAAGGCCAGGCUGAAGACUUUGCCGGAUUAGCUGAGAGGUGGUGCAUGGCCGUCGUCAGUUCGUACUGUGAAGCAUCCUGUUAAGUCAGGCAACGAGCGAGACCCACGCCCACAGUUGCCAGCGUACUCUCUGGAGUGACGGGUACACUGUGGGGACCGCCGCUGCUAAAGCGGAGGAAGGAAUGGGCAACGGUAGGUCAGUACGCCCCGAAUAUCCCGGGCUACACGCGAGCUACAAUGGUUGGUACAAUGGGUAUCUACCCCGAAAGGGGAUGGAAAUCUCCUAAAGCCAAUCUUAGUUCGGAUUGAGGGCUGCAACUCGCCCUC
rnacentral:rRNA from 1 species